GCUUCAUUAGUAUAAGAAGUACUCUUGUCUUCCAAACAAGCGGUCCGUAUAUAGUCGGAUGGAGUU
rnacentral:tRNA from 1 species